rnacentral:rRNA from 1 species
AGGAUUAGAUACCCUGGUAGUCCACGCCGUAAACGAUGUCUACUUGGAGGUUGUGGCCUUGAGCCGUGGCUUUCGGAGCUAACGCGUUAAGUAGACCGCCUGGGGAGUACGGUCGCAAGAUUAAAACUCAAAUGAAUUGACGGGGGCCCGCACAAGCGGUGGAGCAUGUGGUUUAAUUCGAUGCAACGCGAAGAACCUUACCUACUCUUGACAUCCAGAGAAGCCAGCGGAGACGCAGGUGUGCCUUCGGGAGCUCUGAGACAGGUGCUGCAUGGCUGUCGUCAGCUCGUGUUGUGAAAUGUUGGGUUAAGUCCCGCAACGAGCGCAACCCUUAUCCUUGUUUGCCAGCGAGUAAUGUCGGGAACUCCAGGGAGACUGCCGGUGAUAAACCGGAGGAAGGUGGGGACGACGUCAAGUCAUCAUGGCCCUUACGAGUAGGGCUACACACGUGCUACAAUGGCGCAUACAGAGGGCGGCGAACUUGCGAGAGUGAGCGAAUCCCAAAAAGUGCGUCGUAGUCCGGAUUGGAGUCUGCAACUCGACUCCAUGAAGUCGGAAUCGCUAGUAAUCGUAGAUCAGAAUGCUACGGUGAAUACGUUCCCGGGCCUUGUACACACCGCCCGUCACACCAUGGGAGUGGGCUGCAAAAGAAGUGGGUAGUUUAACCUUCGGGAGGACGCUCACCACUUUGU